AAGCGAGAAGCAAAAAUUGCAAUCAGUUUCGACCUGAUCUUAGAUAAAAUAUUUAUCCUUGCUUU
rnacentral:tRNA from 1 species